rnacentral:tRNA from 1 species
GGGGCGAUGGCGUAGUUGGGAGCGCGUCAGACUGAAGCUCACUUCAGCCAAGCAAUCUGAAGGUCGCCGGUUCGAUCCCGGCUCACCCCA